UACAGAGGUCUCAAGCGUUGUUCGGAUUCAUUGGGCGUAAAGGGUGCGUAGGCGGCGCGGUAAGUCGGGUGUGAAAUCUCGGAGCUUAACUCCGAAACUGCAUUCGAUACUGCCGUGCUUGAGGACUGGAGAGGAGACUGGAAUUUACGGUGUAGCGGUGAAAUGCGUAGAUAUCGUAAGGAAGACCAGUGGCGAAGGCGGGUCUCGUGGACAGUUCCUGACGCUGGAGGCAAUGAAGGCCAGGGGAGCAAACGGG
rnacentral:rRNA from 1 species